rnacentral:rRNA from 1 species
GACGAACGCUGGCGGCGUGCUUAACACAUGCAAGUCGAGCGGUAAGGCCCUUUCGGGGGUACACGAGCGGCGAACGGGUGAGUAACACGUAGGUGACCUGCCCUCAGCUCUGGGAUAAGCCUGGGAAACCGGGUCUAAUACUGGAUAUGACUCCAUGACGCAUGUUGUGGGGUGGAAAGCCUUGUGCGGCUGAGGAUGGGCCCGCGGCCUAUCAGCUUGUUGGUGGGGUGANGGCCUACCAAGGCGACGACGGGUAGCCGGCCUGAGAGGGCGACCGGCCACACUGGGGCUGAGACACGGCCCAGACUCCUACGGGAGGCAGCAGUGGGGAAUCUUGCGCAAUGGGCGAAAGCCUGACGCAGCGACGCCGCGUGAGGGAUGACGGCCU